AAAGGAAUAGACGGGGGCCCGCACAAGCGGUGGAGUAUGUGGUUUAAUUCGACGCAACGCGAAGAACCUUACCAGGGCUUGACAUCCUCUGACAGCGUAAGAGAUUACGCCUUUCGUCUUCGGAUGGACAGAGAGACAGGUGGUGCAUGGUUGUCGUCAGCUCGUGUCGUGAGAUGUUGGGUUAAGUCCCGCAACGAGCGCAACCCUUGUCUUUAGUUGCCAGCACGUAAAGGUGGGCACUCUAGAGAUACUGCCGGUGACAAACCGGAGGAAGGUGGGGAUGACGUCAAAUCAUCAUGCCCUUUAUGUCCUGGGCUACACACGUACUACAAUGGCCUGUACAAAGGGUAGCGAAGCUGCGAAGUGGAGCCAAUCCCAAAAAGCAGGUCUCAGUUCGGAUUGCAGGCUGCAACUCGCCUGCAUGAAGUCGGAAUCGCUAGUAAUCGCGGAUCAGCAUGCCGCGGUGAAUACGUUCCCGGGCCUUGUACACACCGCCCGU
rnacentral:rRNA from 1 species